GUCAUGUUUUUGGACUGUGGGAGGACGUUGGGGUACCCAGAAAGAACCCAUGCACGCACGAGGAGAACAUGCAAACCCCAUGCAGAAGGACCCUUGGCCGGGAGUGGAACUCAGGACCGUCUUGCAUCAAGGCAACUGUAGAAAAGGCCCCAAAGUCACCAGUUAUAGUACUCAGUUAUUGCUAAAGUGCUUCUAGUUAACUGGUAAUCAGAAUAGGGUCUAUCGUUUCAGGGUGAGCUCGCUCAGGGGGUUGGUCGCAGUGUUAGUGACGUCACUGUUUAACUUCGUGUAAGAAAUCGAAUGAGAGGCUACAGUUGUGGGAGACCCGAAUACUAGUUAGCGUAACGUGUGCGUGAAUGACAAGAAACCACACAUACACAUACAAAUAUCCUCUCCUCAUAUGUUUCGUGGAAAUAAAGAGAAGAAGAAAUUA